CUACGGGAGGCAGCAGUGGGGAAUCUUGGACAAUGGGGGAAACCCUGAUCCAGCCAUGCCGCGUGAGUGAUGAAGGCCCUAGGGUUGUAAAGCUCUUUCGGCGGGGAAGAUAAUGACUGUACCCGCAGAAGAAGCCCCGGCUAACUCCGUGCCAGCAGCCGCGGUGAUACGGAGGGGGCUAGCGUUGUUCGGAAUUACUGGGCGUAAAGCGCACGUAGGCGGAUCUGUAAGUCGGGGGUGAAAGCCCAGAGCUCAACUCUGGAAUUGCCUUCGAUACUGCAGGUCUUGAGAAUGAGAGAGGUGAGUGGAAUUCCUAGUGUAGAGGUGAAAUUCGUAGAUAUUAGGAAGAACACCGGUGGCGAAGGCGGCUCACUGGCUCAUUUCUGACGCUGAGGUGCGAAAGCGUGGGGAGCAAACAGGAUUAGAUACCCCUGUAGUCC
rnacentral:rRNA from 1 species